GCCCGGGUGGCUCAGUCGGUUGAGCGUCCGACUUUGGCGCAGGCCACAAUCUCACGGUUCGUGGGUUCAAGCCCCGCAUCGGGCU
rnacentral:tRNA from 1 species